rnacentral:rRNA from 1 species
AGAGUUUGAUUCUGGCUCAGGAUGAACGCUAGCGACAGGCUUAACACAUGCAAGUCGAGGGGCAGCAGGGGGUAGCAAUACUCUGCUGGCGACCGGCGCACGGGUGAGUAACGCGUAUGCAACCUACCUAUCAGAGGGGGAUAACCCGGCGAAAGUCGGACUAAUACCGCAUAAAACAGGGGUCCCGCAUGGGAAUAUUUGUUAAAGAUUAAUUGCUGAUAGAUGGGCAUGCGUUCCAUUAGAUAGUUGGUGAGGUAACGGCUCACCAAGUCUGCGAUGGAUAGGGGUUCUGAGAGGAAGGUCCCCCACACUGGUACUGAGACACGGACCAG